UAAAAGACAGCAUAGAAAUAGUUUGAAGAACUUUGUUUUAAUUUGAUUUAUUGUUACAAAAUAGAGCAACUUUAGGUGGCUUAAAUUAAAACUUAGAGGGCUCAGACAAAAAAUCAAUCUACACAUAAAAUCAUUUUAUGAACUGCUUUAUAUAUUACCAACCUCAAGAUGGCUCUGUUCUCCUAAAUAGGCAUGUUCAACAGACAAAACUGUUCAACUUUACA